GAAUGUUAAUGUGGAGGUCUUUUUUAUUAAUUUGUUUUUGUAUUAAAAUAAUUGUAAAAGAUAGGUAUAAAAGAAUAGAAAUGGAUUAUUUAUAAUGUUGUGAUCCGAUAAAUCAUAGAUGCAAAAUGUUAUUCUCAAGGAGCUUGCAGAAAAAAUUUCUAUAACUUCUUUUAAAAGAAGUUAUAGAAAUUAAGUUUCAGGCUACUGGGGUGAAGUUGCUAGAAUCGGUGGACAAAGUGGUUACACUGGAUAAUAAACUAAAAGAUAAAACCGAGUAUACUAAUUUGCUUGAUAGUUUAAAAAAGAUUGGUGGUGGAAAGCCAAGAAAACAUGUUUUGAUCAUGAAAAGGUUAUUUUCGAAUCAGUUACAGUCCAAAUUAAAUCGAAAAGGAAAUGGGGAAAAGAUAAGCUUAGAAAAUCUAGUAAAUAUAUGGAGUGUUUUACGAGAUAUUGGCGACGUGGAAGAAAAUGUUGACGGCAAUGCAGAAAUAUAGUUUCUUAUGUAUAUUUUUGUGAAAUAAAAAUUAAGUAAUGUUAGUUAAAA
rnacentral:lncRNA from 1 species